rnacentral:rRNA from 1 species
GAGUUUGAUCCUGGCUCAGAUUGAACGCUGGCGGCAUGCCUAACACAUGCAAGUCGAACGGCAGCACAGCAGUAGCAAUACUGUGGGUGGCGAGUGGCGGACGGGUGAGUAAUGCAUCGGGACCUACCUAGACGUGGGGGAUAACGUAGGGAAACUUACGCUAAUACCGCAUACGUCCUACGGGAGAAAGCAGGGGACCUUCGGGCCUUGCGCGGUUAGACGGACCGAUGUUCGAUUAGCUUGUUGGUGAGGUAAUGGCUCACCAAGGCGACGAUCGAUAGCUGGUCUGAGAGGAUGAUCAGCCACACUGGAACUGAGACACGGUCCAGACUCCUACGGGAGGCAGCAGUGGGGAAUAUUGGACAAUGGGCGCAAGCCUGAUCCAGCAAUGCCGCGUGUGUGAAGAAGGCCUCGGUU